rnacentral:rRNA from 1 species
UACAGGGGGUGCAAACGUUGCUCGGAAUCAUUGGGCGUAAAGCGCACGUAGGCGGUUCGUUAUGUCGGAUGUGAAAGCCCUUGGCUUAACCGAGGAAGUGCAUCCGAAACUGGCGAGCUAGAGUACGAAAGAGGAUCGCGGAAUUCCCGGUGUAGAGGUGAAAUUCGUAGAUAUCGGGAGGAACACCGGUGGCGAAGGCAGCUCUCUGGGACGGUACUGACGCUGAGACGCGAAAGCGUGGGGAGCGAACAGG